AACGUAACAAAAGCAUAUGAAUCUGGAUAUGUAGAUAUCUUUGCUAGAGUAUAAAAUAUUAUCUAUGUAUUUCUUUUGAUUGUGCGAUGUUCCGAAAAAAAAUGUGACGUGGGAUGAUUCAUGACGUGUGUGAAUACUAAUCAGUUAAUUAAUAUUGAAGAAACAUGACCAGAUGGGAGAGAAUGGUAUCUUUCAUAUAAGACAUUCAGAUAAGUUUGAAGUUUUACAGGUCCCUCCAGAGACGUACUUACCCUUGUCAUGAGAAAGAUA
rnacentral:lncRNA from 1 species